GAUCACAUUACUAAAAUUUAAUGUGGUUAAACGUAGAUUUAAGCGAAGUUAACGGCAGAUGUAUCUAGCAGCGGGGAGCCCCUGACGUCACUUAGAACAGUUGCAAUUCUCGCGCAUCCGUCACUUUGCUACAGCUUGGCUAGCCAGCUACAACUGCUCUUUCGCUCUGUUAUAAAUCUUUGCUAUUGCGUGUUAUUAUUACUUGUUACUUUACUCAACAUGCCUCGGCUAACUAGAAAUAGUAUGGAAACGUCAACGAGCAACAAUAUUGCUAGCACUAGCUCCGCUCCUCCGCCGUCG